rnacentral:rRNA from 1 species
AUUGAACGCUGGCGGCAGGCCUAACACAUGCAAGUCGAGCGGAGCGACGGACGGGUGAGUAAUGCCUAGGAAUCUGCCUGGUAGUGGGGGAUAACGUCCGGAAGCGGGCGCUAAUAACGCAUGCUAUCAGAUGAGACCAAGUAGGAUUAGCUAGGUGGUGGGGUAAAGGACUACCAAGGCGACAAUCCGUCAAUGGGCUGAGAGGAUGAUCAGUCACACUGGGAUGGAGACACGGCCCAGACUCCUACGGGAGGCAGCAGUGGGGAAUAUUGGACAAGGGGCGAAAGCCGGAUCCAGCCAUGCCGCGUGUGUGAAGAAGGUCUUCGGAUUGUAAAGCACUUUAAGUUGGGAGGCGUUACCAACAGAAUAAGCACCGGCUAACUUCGUGCCAGCAGCCGCGGUAAUUC